UCGCCCUUAGAGUUUGAUUACGGCUCAGGAUGAACGCUGGCGGCGUGCUUAACACAUGCAAGUCGAAUGUAGCAAUACAUGGCGGACGGGUGAGUAACGCGUGAGCAAUCUGCCCAUAUCUGGGGGAUAACAGUUGGAAACGACUGAUAAUACCGCAUAACAUCAUAGGAAGGCAUCUUCUCUUGAUCAAAGAUUUAUCGGAUAUGGAUGAGCUCGCGUCUGAUUAGCUUGUUGGUGAGGUAACGGCUCACCAAGGCGACGAUCAGUAGCCGACCUGAGAGGGUGAUCGGCCACAUUGGAACUGAGACACGGUCCAAACUCCUACGGGAGGCAGCAGUGGGGAAUAUUGGGCAAUGGAGGAAACUCUGACCCAGCAACGCCGCGUGAAUGAUGAAGGUCUUCGGAUUGUAAAGUUCUUUUCUAAGGGAAGAAGAAAGUGACGGUACCUUAGGAAUAAGCCUCGGCUAACUACGUGCCAGCAGCCGCGGUAAUACGUAGGAGGCAAGCGUUAUCCGGAAUGACUGGGCGUAAAGGGUGCGUAGGUGGUUCAGCAAGUUAGUAGCGUAACUCCGGGGCUCAACCUCGGCACUACUACUAAAACUGUUGAACUUGAGUGCANGAGGGGCAACUGGAAUUCCUAGUGUAGCGGUGGAAUGCGUAGAUAUUAGGAGGAACAC
rnacentral:rRNA from 1 species